GAUGAACGCUGGCGGCGUGCCCAAUACAUGCAAGUCGAGCGAACAGAUGAGGAGCUUGCUCCUCUGACGUUAGCGGCGGACGGGUGAGUAACACGUGGAUAACCUACCUAUAAGACUGGGAUAACUUCGGGAAACCGGAGCUAAUACCGGAUAAUAUAUUGAACCGCAUGGUUCAAUAGUGAAAGACGGUUUUGCUGUCACUUAUAGAUGGAUCCGCGCCGCAUUAGCUAGUUGGUAAGGUAACGGCUUACCAAGGCAACGAUGCGUAGCCGACCUGAGAGGGUGAUCGGCCACACUGGAACUGAGACACGGUCCAGACUCCUACGGGAGGCAGCAGUAGGGAAUCUUCCGCAAUGGGCGAAAGCCUGACGGAGCAACGCCGCGUGAGUGAUGAAGGUCUUCGGAUCGUAAAACUCUGUUAUUAGGAAAGAACAAAUGUGUAAGUAACUAUGCACGUCUUGACGGUACCUAAUCAGAAAGCCACGGCUAACUACGUG
rnacentral:rRNA from 1 species